UUACAGCGUACUUUGGGAUAAAGCCCGUUUUCGAGCCAUCCUCGUCGUACGCCGCCGAGUCGUGAGUUCCAGAUGAAGCCAGGUUCCAAAUUGCUGGUGACACAACCCGUGACAUCCAAAUCUUCGCAUCUAAAACAGUUUCGGGAGAAAUGGCAAAAGUUUCUUGGCUGAACGUGUCGGAAACGGAACUAUUUAAUUAUCUCGAUGUCUUCCGGAGGAUCCAGUGACUGACGCGGUUCCGCCGAAGCCGAUGUUAUCAGCCGGGGAUGCAGCGAAAGAACUUUACAAAGGAGAAUUUAAUAAAGGAAGCUGGUCAACUUUGCAGCUGGCAGUGAAUUCGAGGCACGUUGGAUCGAACGGACGACGGAGCUGUUCGUCGUGACGUUCGACUGAAGAGAGGUAUAAAUACGGGACCGAUCGUGCAACUGUUGGGUCUACGACGUGGGUCCUGCCACAGGGGUGCUCCCAUUGUAAUUUGAAGUCUUGGCGAGGGUGGCGACGAGGGCCAGACGUCUCCGCGUUCAACCCUCGAACAAUGCGAGGGAUGCGAAUGGUUAGCGUAAUUCGCCAGUGUCGAAAUUCGCCGGUGCAGUCUCCAGACGUUUCACCCCUCGUGAAUGCGUCACCACCGUUACAAAGCGUUUCCCCCUUUGACUCUCAUCUCGCCGACCUUACGCGCAAUAAUUACUGAUGUUUAAUAAAUAGUGUAAAUAAAUGUUUGUAAUUAGUACUGUAAUGGAAACGAAGAUAAAAGAUCGGAAUGAGUAAAGUUUUAACGCCUGGGGUGAAGCUCGGUCGGCGACGCUUCCGGCUAUUGUAAUUCGAAAUCCUUCAACCGGAACUCAGCGUUUCGCAUUAACUGUCAAGCCUUAGGGCUGAGUGGUCGCAGUAAUUUCGUUCCGCCGGAAUUUGUGGCCGUCGCCACCACGAGACACUCGCGCACAAUGCCCGGUAAGUUCCCGAGGAAUUCGCGUUAUCCGCGAGACAGACAUCCCACGGCUACGAAAGCGAACUUCCCGAUUCCGGUAAUUAUACAUCGCAUCGAGGCUCCCUCCGCCGGCCGAACUUCCUCCGCCGAGCGCAACGUUUCUGAUAUCGCGUGCCAUUGUUUCGUAUCUGGAAUCGAUGAAAUAUCGAGUUCGACGCGUGUAACUCGGCCCGAGACCGGGGUAAUCGCGGCCAUUUAUCGAUAACCCGAGCGGUAAUUACGGUGAAAUCGGGACGUAAGUAGUCGGCAGCGUCGCCGCCUACGUAAUUUUGUUUGGUCGCAGCUGUGGAAACACUCACGGAAACGAUCGCGGCGGAGUUAAUUAAAAGUCAACACGACAGGGGCCGGUGAAAAAGUUCGACUGUUCCUAGAACGCGACACGGGACAGAUAAGAUCCGGACGUAAUUUCAUCAUUGCUUUAAGACGCUGUUUGUGCCGAGACUUUGUCGACUCCAUUAACGACCGUAGAUUUCAGUUGACCGUAGGAGCGUAACCGACGUAAUUGAAACGCGUUAGCCGAACGGCAAACAUGGCAGUGGAUAAAAAUUCACGAAGCCCUCGUCCCGACGAAUUUCGAGCGGCGAAUGGAUUUCCGAUUUCGCGGAAAUUUACAGCUCGAUAAUCGGGAAGCGUGCCAAGACGGCGGCCGGAGUGAAAGGAAAACAUUUGGUUUACGCCAGCGACGCAUCACGGAUGAAAGCUGUUUUUUUUUCCUUGUUCUAUUCCGCGGCUCCCUCGAACUCUCGGGAAGAAACAACUACGAAACGACGACGAACUUGCAGGGCGGUUUUUCCUCGGGGUCGGUUAGCUGAACUUUCGCAGGGUGUGAUACAGCCCCGGGCACACGAUCAGAAACGCCGCGCGCCUCCGAGCUUUUCCUCCCUUAUUCACCCGAAAAUGGUCGAUAGUGUGCCUCCUCCUGCAGGGGCUUCUGGAUUCGGGGAACGAGCGCGUUUACUCUCGUUAAGAUGAGUGCCGUGGGGUGAUUUACCCUCUUUACUCUGCCGCGACACUCGGCCCGAGUCCUCCCGUGGGAGAGCCGGGGAAGAAGGCGCCGGGAAACGGAGAGUAAAACGAAUCGUUCGCCUUACAAGAUCCUCUUAUCCUCGGCAGCGACGCGAGGAGAGAUUGAAAAGUUCUUCUCGCCGUUCAUCCGGUCGCUUUUUUCCUCCACCGUUACCAUAAAAAUUCGCCGGCUCGAUCCGAUUGAUCACCGAGCUCGUCGCACUUUAAUCGCAUUAGAUACCUAGCCUCGAGCUUAGCGCCGAGUCGACGGGGACCCAUAAACCAAACGUUUUAUUUAUCUCUACGAAAUUCUCAUCGCGACGGUAAUAACGACACGAAUCCCGGCAAAGACAAAAGCGGAGGACCAUUAAAUACAUCGACAGCCCGGCCGGAGACGGUGGAAAUACACAAUGGACAGGCGGGAAUUUUAUGUAAAGAGUGGUUUAACGAAUGGCAUUGUUAUCGUUUCGAGAUGAAAAAUUAUGGAGCCCCUCGAAACGAAAAGCGGGAGGUGAGAGGCGGUGGUCGGUCGGUCUCUGGGCCGUGGGACACGGACGGAGGCGAGACAAGAACCGAGCACCUGCACCGAGUAAAUCAAUAGCUCCUUCGCAAAGUACGAAGAAAAAGGUGUCUGAAUACGUAGGUACUCGGCGGGUUCUUUCCGCGGCCGGUUGUUCCACCGGCGUCGAUUCAACGCGACUUUAAUAAACCGUCGAUCUCUGGAAUCCUUGAAUUCAUAUUUUUUUCCCACGAUUUUAUCUGAUACCGGCGCUCUCGUCCACGCGCUUGUUUACACGCUUGAAAUCGCGAAACAGAAUCAACCAGCGCGGUUUAAUAAUGUUUAUUCCCGCUCUUAUUUCACCGUUUUAUUCGCCGUUUUUCUCAGCCAACGCCACAUAUUAAUAACGUUAUCUUUUUACCGUUUCGAACGUUCACUCGAAUAUUUCUAGGGUGCGUUAAUAAAUUGUUGAUGUUACAGGAUACUUUUUAUGUGGGAAACUUUCGCGUAUCUGUAUCUAGUAAAAUACAUAUUUUUGCCGGGUGAGAAACGGCACAGAUAUCGUAUCAUCGAUUGUCCUGAGAAUAAUUCGCCGAAACCAGGUUCAUUUAGCAAAAUGUAGAAUACCUCUGGAAUAACGUGCGGAGUGGAUGAAUAAUUCUGGCGGCUCGUCGCGGAGAAACGACGGAGGAUAUUUCAGAACGUGAUUCGGGAGUAAUUUCUAACGUGGGUCGUAUACGCCGCGGUACAAAAGUGUUCCGAAUGAAAAAGCGCGAUAGGUUGCUGGGGCAACGUCGCUGUCAUUUGUACCUGUUGAGGCAAUCGUGUACACCAACCGUUCCCGAAGACCCCGCCUACGAUUCCCGGCCGUUUCUACCGACUUAAACUUCGACUUUGACGUCGACUUUAUGCCCCGCUGUCGAGGGAUCUAUCCGUCCGCUUCUGGAAUUCAAACGACCCCGCUUAUUUCCCGGUAGUAUCGCGGAAACCGAAUGUGGAUCGCGACAUUUUUUACUCCAACAACAGAGAUCGUGGAGGACGAAUGAAAAUUGGAUGUGAACCGAGUAUCGCUCGUUUGCUGUUUCUGGGAACCGUGUCUUUGUGCUGUUUUUUCGCGAUCGGUUCGCGACGAAAUAAUAGAAAUUGAUGACAAUGGUCGAGCGGUCAAAGGAGAGACAAAUCGUAUCGCUUCGAUGGGUACAACGCCGGCGGCGAGCGCGUUAAAAGCAGAGACACCGCGAGUCGAGCCGGGGUAGAAGGCACCGAGGAGAUGAAUGGAAGGAAUAAAUAAGAGGACGGUCCGAUGCGAAGGGUGGAACGAGAGAAAAAAGAAGAGGCACGGCCGUGGAGGGAUGAUAAAGGGUGGAGAGGAGAAGAGUCUCACGGGCUCCUCGUCAAAAAAGAUGAAGUCACCGUGGU